rnacentral:sRNA from 1 species
ACAACUUAAUGAAGUCCGCUGUAGAAAGCAGGUGCCGCAAGGCUUAAUGUCCUGCCGAGGUUGGAAGAUGCGCCGAUAGAUAUUUCUUUGGCAUUCUAAACCUCUGCAGACGCGGAGGUUUUUUGCUGAGUUUA